rnacentral:rRNA from 1 species
ACUCCUACGGGAGGCAGCAGUGGGGAAUAUUGCACAAUGGGGGAAACCCUGAUGCAGCCAUGCCGCGUGUGUGAAGAAGGCCUUCGGGUUGUAAAGCACUUUCAGUAGGGAGGAAGGUAGUGUAGUUAACACCUGCACUAUUGACUGUACCUACAGAAGAAGCACCGGCUAACUCCGUGCCAGCAGCCGCGGUAAUACGGAGGGUGCGAGCGUUAAUCGGAAUUACU